GCCUAGAUAGCUUGGAAGUUCGCGUCUGCCUUGUAAGCGCAAGGCCGCGGGUUCAAUUCCUGCCCGGGGCG
rnacentral:tRNA from 1 species